rnacentral:tRNA from 1 species
UCCCUUAUAGCUCAGUUGGUAAAGAAUCUGCCUGCAAUGCAGGAGACCCUGGUUCCAUAUCUAGGUCAGGAAG